rnacentral:rRNA from 1 species
GAUGAACGCUGGCGGCGUGCCUAAUACAUGCAAGUCGAGCGAACAGACGAGGAGCUUGCUCCUCUGACGUUAGCGGCGGACGGGUGAGUAACACGUGGAUAACCUACCUAUAAGACUGGGAUAACUUCGGGAAACCGGAGCUAAUACCGGAUAAUAUAUUGAACCGCAUGGUCAAUAGUGAAAGACGGUUUUGCUGUCACUUAUAGAUGGAUCCGCGCCGCAUUAGCUAGUUGGUAAGGUAACGGCUUACCAAGGCAACGAUGCGUAGCCGACCUGAGAGGGUGAUCGGCCACACUGGAACUGAGACACGGUCCAGACUCCUACGGGAGGCAGCAGUAGGGAAUCUUCCGCAAUGGGCGAAAGCUUGACGGAGCAACGCCGCGUGAGUGAUGAAGGUCUUCGGAUCGUAAAACUCUGUUAUUAGGGAAGAACAAAUGUGUAAGUAACUAUGCACGUCUUGACGGUACCUAAUCAGAAAGCCACGGCUAACUACGUG